AAUAUUCGUCCUAAACUAAAGCUACAAAUACCCCACACUCUCACUACUCGUAACUGGUGAGCUUCUCAAUUGAUCAUAUAGACUUAACUUCUGUAAUAAAAAAAGGCUUAAAACAAUAGCAAUAAGAGGCAAGUGAGGCCAAAUUCUUUUUUCAUAAAUCGUGAAAGAUAUAGUGGACAUGGAGGGGGUAGAAGAAGAUGUGAGGGUGGGUGCAAAUAGGUAUAUAGCGAGGCAACCCAUAGGAACAGCUGCUCAAAACCAAGACGUCGAGGACUGUACAGAACCACCUCCAGCACCACUUCUUGAGCCUGGGGAAUUGUCAUCAGGGUGGGGGCGGAAAAAUCCCGCACCAAGUGUUCUACGGUUGGAAUUCAGGGCAUUGCUUGGGCGUUUGGUGGGAUGAUUUUUGCUCUUGUCUAUUGCACUGCUGGCAUUUCAGCAGCAGAAGCUACUUUUUCAAGGAGCGAGUAUGUGUCGGUGACAAGUGAAGACAGUGCACAGUUCAUUUUCCUCUCAAUCAAUUAGAAGACCGUGAAAUAAAUCUAACUACACCAGGAUAAACAUCUGUCCCAAAAACAAUAGAUUUGGCUACUUCUCUUAGACAUGAUCCAAGAUCGAUUGAGUUUUUGUUGAAACUCACAUGUGAAAUGAGAACCGUCAGAAAGCAGUGUAAUAACUCAUUGAUAGUCAAGCUCAAAAGUUGAUGGUAAGUUGAAUUUCAACAAUUGUUUUCUUAAGUUAUUACUUUUUUUUUUAAAAAAAGUUGGUAAUAGUUUUUUCUUGGGAAAUAUUAACACUUGAUUACAAAAGAUACAAAGAUGAUCCUUCAAUUUAUUUAGAACUUGAUCCAUAUUUGUGGUUAGAGGCUAGAUUAUUCGGUAAACUCAAUAUAAAUUAGGUUUAUGGUAUCUCAAAUACUACAAGUGAUGAUAUGCAGAUGAACUAUAAUGUAUCGACCAUUACUUCCUCGCAAUCAGGUUUGAGCUUCCAAUCUCCGAUUGUCUAACUAAUUGUACGACCCUGCUUAAUGUUGAGACGACCCAAC